AGAGUUUGAUCCUGGCUCAGGAUGAACGCUAGCGGCAGGCUUAACACAUGCAAGUCGAGGGGUAUAGUUCUUCGGAACUAGAGACCGGCGCACGGGUGCGUAACGCGUAUGCAAUCUACCUUUUGCAGAGGGAUAGCCCAGAGAAAUUUGGAUUAAUACCUCAUAGUAUGUGAGAAUGGCAUCAUUUUCGCAUUAAAGUCACAACGGCAAAAGAUGAGCAUGCGUCCCAUUAGCUAGUUGGUAAGGUAACGGCUUACCAAGGCAACGAUGGGUAGGGGUCCUGAGAGGGAGAUCCCCCACACUGGUACUGAGACACGGACCAGACUCCUACGGGAGGCAGCAGUGAGGAAUAUUGGACAAUGGGCGCAAGCCUGAUCCAGCCAUGCCGCGUGCAGGAUGACGGUCCUAUGGAUUGUAAACUGCUUUUGUACAGGAAGAAACACUGGUUCGUGAACCAGCUUGACGGUACUGUAAGAAUAAGGAUCGGCUAACUCCGUGCCAGCAGCCGCGGUAAUACGGAGGAUCCAAGCGUUAUCCGGAAUCAUUGGGUUUAAAGGGUCCGUAGGCGGUUUAGUAAGUCAGUGGUGAAAGCCCAUCGCUCAACGGUGGAACGGCCAUUGAUACUGCUAGACUUGAAUUAUUAGGAAGUAACUAGAAUAUGUAGUGUAGCGGUGAAAUGCGUAG
rnacentral:rRNA from 1 species